UCAGGACGAACGCUGGCGGCGUGCUUAAUACAUGCAAGUCGAGCGGACCGACGGGAGCUUGUUCCCUUAGGUCAGCGGCGGACGGGUGAGUAACACGUGGGUAACCUGCCUGUAAGACUGGGAUAAUUCCGGGAAACCGGGGCUAAUACCGGAUGCUUGAUUGAACCGCAUGGUUCAAUCAUAAAAGGUGGCUUUUAGCUACCACUUACAGAUGGACCCGCGGCGCAUUAGCUAGUUGGUGAGGUAACGGCUCACCAAGGCGACGAUGCGUAGCCGACCUGAGAGGGUGAUCGGCCACACUGGGACUGAGACCAGGCC
rnacentral:rRNA from 1 species